AUGUCGCCAGUUCUGCAUCUCCUGUGGGCUCUAAUGGUCCAUUUACCAGGUUUCCUGGCGGUCCCAGUCCUGAAUCAGACAUCAAUGUCUGAUCCUUUCUCCGCGGGACAGACUGCCAGCUUAGAGUGCCGGAUACAGAACGGAAACGUUGCAAGUUACGAUUUUGGUUGGGACCGACAUCGUCCCGGGAAGAGACCGGAGGGAGUAAUAUAUCAUGGCACAAGCAAUAACAUUUACAGAGGACCCGGCAUCACUGAACGUUUCCAACCGUCCAGAGACACCUCCGCCAACAGUCACAUCCUGACCAUCGGCAGCUUGGAGACCGGCGACUCGGCCGUCUAUUACUGCAGAGUGUGGGGAAGUGGCGUGGGUUGGUUCUAUGGACCGGGGACGAUCCUGGAGAUAAAGAGUAGCGAGAGCAGAAAGCCCUCUGUCCUCCUGCUCCCUCCCUCCCCGGAGGAGACCGGCUCAGGUUCUGCCACUCUUUCCUGCCUCGUGAGCGGUUUUAAGCCUGGCUUGGUCGCGCUGCGCUGGAGCGUGGAUGGCGUCGAGACAGAGAGCGGCGUGACGACAGGCGCCGUGUCCCUGGACACCGACCAGAUCUACAAGCUGAGCAGUUACCUGCGGGUACCCGCCGCUGCCUGA